GGCAACGGGACCCCGCAGAAACGCACGCAGAGACCCGCCUUGCUGUGGAUUCGAGCAGCGUCACCAGCAGCAAGCGAGUCAAGGGGGCAGCUCGACUUACCAAGGGUGGGCCCGAGAGUGGGAGAGACCACUGUGGCCCUCUGUGUUCUUAGUCGUCGGUGCCCCUUUAAGUGCCCAGCCCAGUUAUGGCAUGCGUUUCUGCCUCCGUGACUCUGGCAUGCAGGGCCUGCGACAUGACUGUCUUAGUGCAGGGCAGGAGUGGCAGAAUUCUCCUGCCUCAUGUAUUCCUCUUUCUUUUGUGAGAACUCACCUAGCACCAGCAGAAGAGAAGGAAUGCAGUUUAGAGCAAUCUGCAGCCAGCCAUACCAGACUUCAAAGCCAGUUUGCCUUGGUCUCAGAAAUCCCACUCUAUUCUUUGGACAGUUUUAUCUGGCCUCCCUGCUUGAUGUCCACAAUUGCCAUAUAUGACUCCAUAAAGUUGUAGGAGGGUUCGUUUCCCUGGUCCACAUCUUACUUUUCUGAGAAAUAUAAGCAUAUUUUCACAUGAUCUAAUAUGGCACCAUGACUGCCCUCAUAACAUAACCAUUUCUGGGUCUUUUUGCCCUUCUUAAUAUCCAUGUAAAAUCGUGUCCAUGGAAUUCUUUUUUUUUUUUCCUACUCAAUUGGGGUUAAGCGACUUGCCCAGGGUCACACAGCUAGUAAGUGUCAAGUGUUUGGUGUGAGGUCAUAUUUGAACUCAAGUCCUCCUGACUUCAAGGCUGGCACUCUAUCCACUGCGCUAUCUAGAUUUCCCAAGCCAUGUCCAUGUGAUGGGGGACAGGACACUGAGUGUGGAAUCACAGGAUGAAUUCUCUGAUUAAAUCCCUGGGGGACCUUGGUCUAGUGUUGCCUCUCCCCUUUGGUCUCAGUUUUCUUACCUUACUCCCCAACCUUUUGAGAUGAGAAAAAUAAGAGCCAUUAUUAAUAUAUAUAUAUAUAUAUAAUGACUCUUAUUUUAUAUA
rnacentral:lncRNA from 1 species